rnacentral:lncRNA from 1 species
ACCUGCUGUAGUUAACUAUGGCAUGUGGGACCAGCUCAGGGUUGACCGUGGUAGGGAAUUUUACAUGUCCCUAUACAUGCAAGAGAAGCUGUCAAGACACAGACACAACCUCAGCAGACAACCAUACCUCCAAACAGCUUUAACAAUGGUGAGGUUUUUGCAAUGCUGAUAACAGUUAUAAGACUACUACAACCAAUAUAAAAAUAUGUAAUUAAUAAUACAUAUGUGCAUUUCAAACUGGCAAUUUAUUUUCCUUAUUAGUUCAUACAUUCUUCACUGUGUUUCAUAUAAUAUGAAACAUUGUUUUUCAGAAUCUUAGAAAGGAUUUGGCCUGAAGUGAACAAUUGGGUGAACUACCCAUUGAAACAGGCCCUGGUGCACCUGCUAGACCAAGAAGUCAUCAAGAUGGAAGACAGUAUGACUAAAUUCUGCACUUCAAACUUGGCAUAUCAGUUAAGCCAAAUUGGACUAAAUAGAGUAGUGCAGGCAUGGAAUGCUCAUAGGAUCCCAGGCCGUAGAAUACCCAAAGAACUUGCAGCAAGUGGAUGUCCAUCAAAAAUUUCAGAUGAGCUGCUGCCCAAUGCCUCUGUUGUGGCAAAUAUAUACGAGCGGGAGUUGGGAUCGUCGCUGACUUGGAUGUCUACCUUUGGAACGGACCCCUUUUCCUCUGAGGAGGACAGAUGUCAUGCAGAGCAGGACUUUGUAGAAAAGUAUUCAGACAUCUCUCUACUUUUCAAUCAAGCAGUGAACAGUGAAUAUAGCCUUUUUCAGGAUGCAUUUCUUUACCUCAUAAAUGUAACCCAAAGAUAUGUAUGAAAAGUGACAUCAAUUCUCUAUUUUUUUUUUUAAGCAGUGAAGUCUUAAUUAGGCAGUAUUAAUUAGGCAUGUAGUAGACUUCUGCUGUGAAGUCUAUAAAAUCAGCCAGGGUAUACAAAUAAUGGAUUAAAUUUAUGUAUGCAUGUAUUUAGCUGCCACCAUGCCCAAAUCUCAGUUGAAUAAACAGACGUCUAUUUUUGCCAAGAACUCUGUUGUUUUUAAAAUUUCUUGUUCAAACUCUUCAAUUCAAAGACAUAAAUAUAUUAAACAUUUUGCUUCAGUUUGUAUUUUAGAAACAAAAAAAAAAAAAAAAACAAGUUGUGUAAAAUUGUAUUGGAUAAUACAAUAAACAGAUUGGAUGCAAAACAAAAUGAAAUAACCAUAUGGAAUGAUGCACAUCUAACUGUGCACUAGAACUGCAUAUCUUGAGAUGAAGGACAAAGAAACAACAGUAAAACGCAAUUGUGCAACGUUUGAUAAUACUAGUACAUAGUAUUAAUCCAAGAGUAUGUUUCUGAGUGCAGCCAAUGCAUCAGAUAGGCCCAUGAGUCUUUGUAUGUUGUUGCCAGAAUCACCAGCACGGCAUUUUGGGCAGGAGGGAGAAUUUGUUUGCCAUUCAUCAAUGCUAAUCCUGCAGCCAAUAAAGCUUUGGCAUCAUGAUGAAACCAUGGGCUCGUUCAUUGGACCUGCAAAUUUGAUUCAGAAAACAGUUUUAAAUACUACAGUUACAGUAUUUGAGAACUAUUUGAUACAUUUGUGGAACACUGUUGUCUUUGUGGAAAGUGGUAAAUCAGUUGUAUUCAUAAAGUUUAGAUUAGCACAAACAAAUUAUAUAUUUUUUUCUUAUUACAUAAAAUGGUAGGUUCAGUCACUGCUUGAUGAUUUUACACAAUUUAAUAAUAUUUUAAAAUAUUAUUUUGAAGAAUAAAAUAUUAAAUUAUACAAACCUUUGCAGAUUAUACACGCAAAAGCAUCUCUGACAGCUGUGGUUUCUGCAUCUGUAAGGGAUACUGUCGUCCUCCGAUUGGAAUUGGCAAAUUCCAUUAGCUCUUUCAUCGUUGUGGACACUGCUUGCAGUCCCUGGGCUGCUGCCACAACCUCUUCAAUAGUGUCCACAACCUCUUGGAGGCCAGUAUCUUCUCUUCGACUGGAAAACAUUUAAAUCAUACAAGGCAAAAAUUAUUACAUUUGUUUUCAACAGAUAGUGUAUUCACAGUGAAAGUAAGCAGAUACAAUCAUUUUAACUAUACUUUGAUCAUUAUAAACCUAUUAAAGUCUCAAGGGCUUCAUGCAGUCUAACUGUAAUCCUAUGUAUUAACCUGUGACUUUAAAUAACAUGUUAAGUAAAGUAUUCGUAAUAAACAGAAAAUAUUAUUACAACAAUUACAAAAGUAAUUGUUGUAAUAAACAGAGUAAUUAAGGUCCCAGUCUAUCAACCCAUCUGAAUUUAGUGGCCCCAACUGAGCCCAAGUGAUGCUGUGCAUCUGCACUAGGACCUGAAUUCUCAAAUAUACUUUUAAGAAAAUACUGAAUAUCUAGCAAAUUUAGUUGACAAUCCAUACAAAUGUGAUUUAAAUUGUAAUGAAUUUAAUUAAUAAUGAAAUGCAGCAGUUUCUGUACCUCAGUCUCCUCCUUUUACUUUCUCGUAGCUGCAGGAAUUCUUCCUGCAGCACAGCAAAUACUUUCCGUGCAUUCUGCUUCCAGUAUGCUGAUCCUGUAUAGUAAAUAAUUUAUAAAACAAAAGAUUUUGCACAUUUGAUAUUAGAAUCCUCUUCCUGUACAUUAUGGCCUGGUUUCACAGACAGGGCUUAUAUUAAGCCGGGAUUAGGCCUUAGUUCAAUUAAGGCAUUAAAGUAGCUUUUAUAAAUGUUCCGUAAUAAAAAAAAAAAAAACAAAAACUAUUACUUAUCGUCUAUAAAAAAAAAAAAAAACAUUACUGCUGAGCAUCUUGAGACAAAACAAUGGCACUGAAACAUUUUAAGAUAUCUUAGCUUUCAAAACAUCUCAAACUAAACAUUUUAGUCCGGGACUAGACUUAAACCUUGUCUAUGAAACCAGGGGUAUAUUGUUUACAUGCAUGCAGCAUUUUUAUGUUUUUGGCAAUUAACUUGUGUGACUGGAUGACAAAGUAACUAAUGCACUGAAAGCAUGUAAAGUCUUCAAUUGUUUUAUAUACUAUUAUACUGUGAUGCUUAAAUUAUGUACUAGGUGUAACAUAUUCAGUUGUUUCAAGUUUUUACAAAGAAGCACAUUUGAUAUUAGAAUCCUCUUCCUGUACAUUAUGGCCUGGUUUCACAGACAGGGCUUAUAUUAAGCCGGGAUUAGGCCUUAGUUCAAUUAAGGCAUUAAAGUAGCUUUUAUAAAUGUUCCGUAUAAAAAAAAAAAAAAAAAACAAUUACUGCUGAGCAUCUUGAGACAAAACAAUGGCACUGAAACAUUUUAAGAUAUCUUAGCUUUCAAAACAUCUCAAACAAACAUUUUAGUCCGGGACUAGACUUAAACCUUGUCUAUGAAACCAGGGGUAUAUUGUUUACAUGCAUGCAGCAUUUUUAUGUUUUUGGCAAUUAACUUGUGUGACUGGAUGACAAAGUAACUAAUGCACUGAAAGCAUGUAAGACAAAGUAACUAAUGCUACUGAAAGCAUGUAAAGUCUUCAAUUGUUUUAUAUACUAUUAUACUGUGAUGCUUAAAUUAUGUACUAGGUGUAACAUAUUCAGUUGUUUCAAGUUUUUACAAAGAGGAAUUGUUUAAUUUGGUUACCUUUGGAAAGUUUUUGGCAUAGUUGCUCUUGGAACUGCAGAAGAACCAGUUGCAGAACCCGCUGCUGCACUGACUGGCUGGUGGAAGGAAAAGCGAGUAGGGUUGGGCGUUACAGGUGUAUUAGGUGAACACUCCACGGUGAUGCUCUCACCGUGCACCUCAUAAUGCCCCCUUACUGUGAGGUCAAGAAGACUGAAGUGGCCAUCAGGCGCAGGAAACAGAGCCACAUUGUUGUCAUCAGUGAUGUACAAACUGGGGCCAUGGACCUUAAAGAUAUUUAUUUUCAAUAUAAACAAGUUCAGGAUAUUUAUCAGGCCACUGGAAUUUAUGGUGUAAUUUAACAGAUGGCAUCCAAUUGUUUUCAAAGACAGUGGGCCUCCCUUCUGACAGAACAUCAAAAUGGUGUAUUCUGAACAAAAGUUUUGUAAAGAGCAUAGUGAUUUUUUUUUAAUAGACAUAGAGAGGUACCCUACACCGACAGACUCCGACCACGGUCUACAAUCACCAAAUUACCUAAACAAAUGCUAACAGAGCCAACACACUGAUCCGACGAAACCAGGCAAAGUGCCUUGGUCCGUGCAGUGUGAAAUGGCAUUUGUAGUUGAAUCUACAGUAACUUUACCUGAAAGAUCCUGCCGAUCUUGUCAGUUGCAAGGUCAUUUUCUUUUAAAGUGAUUCGCUUGUUACCUCUGAAGAACACAAAACUUUCCAUUGUGAUUGAUUGUCAGACAGUGAUGGUCGCAUGCGCUCUUUCAUCAGUGUUGCCAGGUAUAUGGUUUCCCGCUUGAAUGUUCCUCCUUCCCUCCCUGGAAGUGGAACGGAAUAUUUACCACCCAAAAACGCUAAUUUUACUCCCCGGAAAGUUAUUACAUUUUUUAAUUUAUUUUUUUUAGAAGGGGAACACCACUGGAAUUCAGUUGGGAUAAUGAUGGCCGUUUUGUGGCUAGAUUGAUCAGCAAUUGGAAGGGUGUUGUUAUGCAGACUCGGCAACCCUGUUUCACAGCUACAUCCGGGUCAGGCCAAAUUGGAUAACUAAAUAUCAAAAUCAGAUUUGUGGUGGAGGCGUUUUUCGUAUUUCCCAUUUUGAGCAUGUAAUCGAAAAUACAAAAAAAAAAAAAAAAACAAGUACAUUAUCAUUAUUGUUUUUUAAAUAUUGUAAUUUGUAAACGAAUAACAAGACCCUACCUCCCGAUCUAGUCCAACUCCUUACCACAUCAGCCAAGGUCUGGCUAGGCCAUCCCCAGAGUGUCAGUCCUGGGUUUUGGGGAAAAUGAAUCAAGGUUAUACAUUUCGGCUCACUCGAAGACCCCUGCUAGUUCCGCGGCGUGGUUCCCACCUUGGUUCAGAGCAAAGACGCACACGUCCUACGCUUUGAGGUGAUGAAUUUACUGGUGAAAGAGGCCGUAAAAAUGGUUCCCCCAGCUCAGAGCAAGUCAGGGUUUUUACAGCCAAUACUUCCUCCUCCCCAAGAAGGAUGGCAGCCUCCAGCCCAUCCUCAAUCUCACCUCUUUUAGGAGCUUAGAUGGAAUAGGGUCUAGCAUACAUGUUGUUGGUUUAGAUGAUUUAACAACUUUAUAAAAUUCUUACUCUUCUAUAGUAGAGCAUGAGUGGAAUUGUUCCUCAGGGGAUCUAUAGCGCACUAUAUCUGAUGCGAUACUGUAGCAUGGUUACAAUUUUAUCUCUAAUAGUAUCGAUCUUGGAAUUAAAGUAGUUCAUAAAGUCAUUACUGCUGUGUUGUUGGGAAAUGUCAAUGCCUGUUGGUGCUUUAUGUUUCAUUAAUUUAGCCACUGUAUUGAAUAAAUACCUGGGGUUAUGUUUGUUUUAUUUUAAAAGAGACAAAAAGUAAUCAGAUCUAGCAGUUUUUAAUGCUUUUCUGUAGGAUAGGGUACUUUCCCGCCAUGCAAUACAAAAUAGCUCUAGUUUUGUUUUCUGGUCUCUUUAGGGCAUGAGUGUGCUCAUUAUAACACAGUGUCAAACUGUUUCCUU